rnacentral:ncRNA from 1 species
GGGCUACACACGUGCUACAAUGGUCGGUACAAAGAGAAGCAAUAUGGCGACAUGGAGCAAAUCUCAAAAAGCCGAUCUCAGUUCGGAUUGAAGUCUGCAAUUCGACUUCAUGAAGUCGGAAUCGCUAGUAAUCGCAGAUCAGCUACGCUGCGGUGAAUACGUUCUCGGGUCUUGUACACACCGCCCGUCGCACCAUGGGAGCUGGUAAUACCCAAAGUCGGUUUGCUAACCUCGGAGGCGACUGCCUAAGGUAGGACUGGUGACUGGGGUUAAGUCGUAACAAGGUAUCCCUACGAGAACGUGGGGAUGGAUUACCUCCUUU